rnacentral:rRNA from 1 species
GGUUAAGCGACUAAGCGUACACGGUGGAUGCCCUGGCAGUCAGAGGCGAUGAAGGGCGUGCUAAUCUGCGAUAAGCGCCGGUAAGGUGAUAUGAACCGUUAUAACCGGCGAUACCCGAAUGGGGAAACCCAGUGUGAUUCGUCACACUAUCAUUAACUGAAUCCAUAGGUUAAUGAGGCGAACCGGGGGAACUGAAACAUCUAAGUACCCCGAGGAAAAGAAAUCAACCGAGAUUCCCCCAGUAGCGGCGAGCGAACGGGGAGGAGCCCAGAGCCUGAAUCAGCAUGUGUGUUAGUGGAAGCGUCUGGAAAGGCGCGCGAUACAGGGUGACAGCCCCGUACACAAAAGCGCAUGUGCUGUGAGCUCGAUGAGUAGGGCGGGACACGUGGUAUCCUGUCUGAAUAUGGGGGGACCAUCCUCCAAGGCUAAAUACUCCUGACUGACCGAUAGUGAACCAGUACCGUGAGGGAAAGGCGAAAAGAACCCCGGCGAGGGGAGUGAAAAAGAACCUGAAACCGUGUACGUACAAGCAGUGGGAGCACCCUUUGGGUGUGACUGCGUACCUUUUGUAUAAUGGGUCAGCGACUUAUAUUCUGUAGCAAGGUUAACCGAAUAGGGGAGCCGGAGGGAAACCGAGUCUUAACCGGGCGUUAAGUUGCAGGGUAUAGACCCGAAACCCGGUGAUCUAGCCAUGGGCAGGUUGAAGGUUGGGUAACACUAACUGGAGGACCGAACCGACUAAUGUUGAAAAAUUAGCGGAUGACCUGUGGCUGGGGGUGAAAGGCCAAUCAAACCGGGAGAUAGCUGGUUCUCCCCGAAAGCUAUUUAGGUAGCGCCUCGUGAAUUCAUCUCCGGGGGUAGAGCACUGUUUCGGCUAGGGGGCCAUCCCGGCUUACCAACCCGAUGCAAACUGCGAAUACCGGAGAAUGUUAUCACGGGAGACACACGGCGGGUGCUAACGUCCGUCGUGAAGAGGGAAACAACCCAGACCGCCAGCUAAGGUCCCAAAGUCAUGGUUAAGUGGGAAACGAUGUGGGAAGGCCCAGACAGCCAGGAUGUUGGCUUAGAAGCAGCCAUCAUUUAAAGAAAGCGUAAUAGCUCACUGGUCGAGUCGGCCUGCGCGGAAGAUGUAACGGGGCUAAACCAUGCACCGAAGCUGCGGCAGCGACACUGUGUGUUGUUGGGUAGGGGAGCGUUCUGUAAGCCUGUGAAGGUGUGUCGUGAGGCAUGCUGGAGGUAUCAGAAGUGCGAAUGCUGACAUAAGUAACGAUAAAGCGGGUGAAAAGCCCGCUCGCCGGAAGACCAAGGGUUCCUGUCCAACGUUAAUCGGGGCAGGGUGAGUCGACCCCUAAGGCGAGGCCGAAAGGCGUAGUCGAUGGGAAACGGGUUAAUAUUCCCGUACUUGGUGUUACUGCGAAGGGGGGACGGAGAAGGCUAUGUUGGCCGGGCGACGGUUGUCCCGGUUUAAGCGUGUAGGUGUGUGUUCCAGGUAAAUCCGGUUCACUUUAACACUGAGGCGUGACGACGAGGCACUACGGUGCUGAAGCAACAAAUGCCCUGCUUCCAGGAAAAGCCUCUAAGCAUCAGGUAACAUCAAAUCGUACCCCAAACCGACACAGGUGGUCAGGUAGAGAAUACCAAGGCGCUUGAGAGAACUCGGGUGAAGGAACUAGGCAAAAUGGUGCCGUAACUUCGGGAGAAGGCACGCUGACACGUAGGUGAAGUGAUUUACUCAUGGAGCUGAA